UUCUAAUUGGCAUAAUGCCGAAUAAACUUAAGUCCUGUCGUUAGACUAACAACGCGUGGAGGAAAUUAUUUUAUAACCGUUUCCGACCCUAUAAAGUAUAUAUAUCCUUGAUUUCUCUGGUGACAUUUUUGAGGCGCAAGGAGACUGCCAUUUAUUAAAGACUGAACUGGUGAGCGGAUUCUUUCUUAAAUUCUGCUUUAACUUCGUUUGACGAUUCCGUUCUUCAUGUCAGGCUAGAGCUGAUCGAUGAGAUGCAAAAAAUUAGAAAAAUUCUGAGCGAGCUUGAAGAAUCUGAUUUGGAUGAAAUUAAAAGUAAUUUGAGUGCACCAUUUAAUGAUGUUUUCGUAAUGCUUAAAUCCUCAGUUCUGUGGGAAAUUUCAAAGCGCUCUUCGCAAAUGCAUUCGCCCUCUACUCUUGAUGUCGGCAUUUCGCCGUGUGAUUGUGGCCAUCAGCAGCGCUCACUCUGGAACUCACUAUAAAAUUCGCUGAAGGCUAGGCUAACUGGCUGGACUUUUAUUCUAUGUUAACGACAAUAAUAGAUAGUCAUCCCCUACCUCACAAACACAGAGAAGCUACAGCAUCUUCGAUCCUGUCUUAGGGACUGGAAAUUUCGGAGGGCAACUAUGCCAUAGCUUCGUGGAAUUGUUAAAAAACAGAUUUGAUAAUCGGCGCUUAGUUUUUCAGGCUAAAUUCUCGGGCUAAGGAUAGUGCAAAGUGGUUCCGUUUCAAUGCUUUGUGACCUGUCUGAUAAAUUAGAAGCUCAUAUUCGGGCUCUAAACGGAUUGGGUACAACGGAACAAAUUGAUGGAUUCAUUAUUUUCCAAGUACAUGUCCAAAAGCUGUAUACGGCGAGUCAGGCCAAAUGGGAGGACCCAGCCUUAAAAAAUGUAAUUCUAACGUGGGAAUCCAUAGCAUUCCAUCCAUUUCUGGAGCAGCGAUGCAGGACACUGGAGACUAUGGAUUUCGUCAUGGCAAGAUAUGCGCCAAUUGGGAGCUAAUCGUACAUCUAAUAUGCGUAGCUCAGCCAUUCUCGCCACAAAUUCAAUUUUAUUUGCAUAAAGUAUAAAAAUUAAGCUACAGACUUGAAACUUUAUACAUUUUGUUGUUGUUAAAGCACAAAUAGUUUGCACACAAAAUUUGGCCGUGCGACCACGCCCUCUCUUGCCUCCCAUAUUAACUACCGGUAUGACUCAGGAGUCAACGAAUUUUUAUUGUUUUUUUAAAUAUAAUAAAUGUGUCUUGCUCCUGCAUUUUGGUAAGAAAGUUUCGGCGUCCCACUUGCAGUGGUGUUUUGGAGUUUUCAAAAUCACUAGCAAGAAUUGUUAUCUUAGUAUGUUUGGAAAUAAAUCGGUCUAGAUUUCUUUUAAUGAA